rnacentral:rRNA from 1 species
CGAGCGGAAGGCCCUUCGGGGUACUCGAGCGGCGAACGGGUGAGUAACACGUGAGCAACCUGCCCUAGGCUUUGGGAUAACCCUCGGAAACGGGGGCUAAUACCGAAUAUUCACUUGCGGGCGCAUGUUUGUGGGUGGAAAGUUUUUCGGCUUGGGAUGGGCUCGCGGCCUAUCAGCUUGUUGGUGGGGUGAUGGCCUACCAAGGCGACGACGGGUAGCCGGCCUGAGAGGGCGACCGGCCACACUGGGACUGAGACACGGCCCAGACUCCUACGGGAGGCAGCAGUGGGGAAUAUUGCACAAUGGGCGGAAGCCUGAUGCAGCGACGCCGCGUGAGGGAUGACGGCCUUCGGGUUGUAAACCUCUUUCAGCAGGGACGAAGCGCGAGUGACGGUACCUGCAGAAGAAGCGCCGGCCAACUACGUGCCAGCAGCCGCGGUAAGACGUAGGGCGCGAGCGUUGUCCGGAUUUAUUGGGCGUAAAGAGCUCGUAGGCGGCUUGUCGCGUCGACUGUGAAAACCCACGGCUCAACUGUGGGCUUGCAGUCGAUACGGGCAGGCUAGAGUUCGGUAGGGGAGACUGGAAUUCCUGGUGUAGCGGUGAAAUGCGCAGAUAUCAGGAGGAACACCGGUGGCGAAGGCGGGUCUCUGGGCCGAAA